rnacentral:rRNA from 1 species
GAUGAACGCUGGCGGCGUGCCUAAUACAUGCCAGUCGAGCGAACGGACGAGAAGCUUGCUUCUCUGAUGUUAGCGGCGGACGGGUGAGUAACACGUGGAUAACCUACCUAUAAGACUGGGAUAACUUCGGGAAACCGGAGCUAGUACCGGAUAAUAUUUUGAACCGCAUGGUUCAAAAGUGAAAGACGGUCUUGCUGUCACUUAUAGAUGGAUCCGCGCUGCAUUAGCUAGUUGGUAAGGUAACGGCUUACCAAGGCAACGAUGCAUAGCCGACCUGAGAGGGUGAUCGGCCACACUGGAACUGAGACACGGUCCAGACUCCUACGGGAGGCAGCAGUAGGGAAUCUUCCGCAAUGGGCGAAAGCCUGACGGAGCAACGCCGCGUGAGUGAUGAAGGUCUUCGGAUCGUAAAACUCUGUUAUUAGGGAAGAACAUAUGUGUAAGUAACUGUGCACAUCUUGACGGUACCUAAUCAGAAAGCCACGGCUAACUACGUG